GAGGACUGCCCGAUGGCGGCGGCACUGUUCGAGCCGCCCUGCAGCGGUGUGGAGACUCCGACCAGUUGGGGCAGGCGGCUCAGGUCGCGGCCAGCCAGGUGUCCAUGGAUUGGCGGGGACAGCUCUGCUUAAGGAUGUAGUAGCUCUGCAGGUUGGCUAGUUUCCUGUUCUUCCCAACCUGCGCUAUGGACUUCAUCAGAUUUCAGCAUCAGAGAGAAUAUGGAAGGACAUCGACCCUAACUUCAUCCAGUGAGGAUUUCCACACACCAUACACUCUCUGAGAGUUCUCUUGGCUUUGUGUGCACACCUCCAGUGACAGGGAGCUCGCUAUGUCAUGAGGCAGCCUGCUCCCUUGUGGCUAUCACUGAACCAACUAUUAAGCCUUCUUAUACAAACAGUCCCUGACUUACUGUUAGACUUACAACUUUUUGAUUUUACAGUGGUGCAAAAGCAAUAUGCAUUCCAUAGAAACUGUAUUUCAAAUUUUGAAUUUUGAUCUUUUCCAGGCUAGCAACAUAUGAAGACCAACCUUCUAUUUUUAAAAUAGGCUUUGUGUUAGAUGCUUUUGCCCAACUAUAGGUUAAUGUAAAUGUUCUGAGAAUAUUUGAGGAAGGCUAGGCUAAACUGUGAUCUUUGGGAGCUUAGAUAUGUUAAGUGCAUUUUCAACUUACAAUAUUUUCAACUUACGAUGAGUUUAUUGGGAUGAAGCCCGUUGUAAGUAAAGGAGCAUCUGCAUUAAGCUAAAAUCCAUGUCUAUAACUUCCUCAGUAAUAUCAAGUUUGUUCCUUGGAGCCAGAGAAUAAACUGAAUCCUUUUCC
rnacentral:lncRNA from 1 species